AGGCUGGAUACUGAGAGGGAGGGAACAGCCAGGAAGGCAUUCCUCUGCACCUUCAGCCCUCACUUUGGACCGCCCUGAGCCAUAUCUGGUUCACAGGAUCUGUUCUCCAUGCCUCCACCUACAAGAAAUGACCUGGAGUGCCCUGCUGACCGAGGAUGCUAUAAGAGAUAGCUCAGUGGUUAAGAGCACUCUCUGCUCUUCCAGAGGACAUGGGUUCAGUUUCCAGCCACCAUGGCAGUUAACAACUGUCUGCAGCUGCAGUUCCAGAGGGUCUGAUAGCCUCUUCUGUCCUCCAAAGCACUUUAUGCGCACAGUACACAGACAUGCAUGCAAGCAAAACACCCAUGCAUGUCACAUAAAAAUACAAGAAGUAUAGAAGGGGGAGGAAGAGGAGGAGGAGGAAGAGGAGGAAGAAGAGAAGAGAAAGAGAAGCAGCUCUUUUGAAUUCUGACUAGCAGGACAAAAUAAAACUCUACAGACUUUGAUUUUUGCACAGGUGUCUACUAGUAUUAGAACCAAGAAAAGCCGGCCAGCGAGAUGUCACAGUGUGCCAAACCUGAUGACCUGAGUUCUAUCUUGAGGACCCCCAUAGUCGGAGAGAACUGAUUCCUGCAAGAUCUCCUCUGACUUUCACACAUUCUUCAGUGCUAUAUAUAUAUCCCUCCAAUAAAUGUAAUUUAAAACGU
ensembl:lincRNA Gm43608 predicted gene 43608